rnacentral:rRNA from 1 species
CCUACGGGAGGCAGCAGUAGGGAAUAUUUCUCAAUGGGGGAAACCCUGAAGCAGCAACGCCGCGUGGAGGAUGAAGGUUUUCGGAUUGUACACUCCUUUUGUUAGAGACGAUAAUGACGUUAUCUAACGAAUAAGCACCGGCUAACUCCGUGCCAGCAGCCGCGGUAAUACGGAGGGUGCAAGCGUUACUGGGAACGACUGGGCGUAAGGAGAGCGUAGGCGGGUAAGCAAGUCAGAUGUGAAAUCUUAUGGAUUAACCAUAGAACUGAAUUUGAAACUGUUAUUCUAGAGUAUGGGAGAGGUAGGUGGAAUUCUUGGUGUAGGAGUAAAAUCCGUAGAGAUCAAGAGGAAUACUCAUUGCGAAGGCGACCUGCUAGAACAUAACUGACGCUGAUGCGCGAAAGCGUAGGGAGCAAACAGGAUUAGAUACCCUAGUAGUC